GACGAACGCUGGCGGCGUGCUUAACACAUGCAAGUCGAACGGAAAGGCCCUGCUUUUGUGGGGUGCUCGAGUGGCGAACGGGUGAGUAACACGUGAGUAACCUGCCCUUGACUUUGGGAUAACUUCAGGAAACUGGGGCUAAUACCGGAUAGGAGCUCCUGCUGCAUGGUGGGGGUUGGAAAGUUUCGGCGGUUGGGGAUGGACUCGCGGCUUAUCAGCUUGUUGGUGGGGUAGUGGCUUACCAAGGCUUUGACGGGUAGCCGGCCUGAGAGGGUGACCGGCCACAUUGGGACUGAGAGACGGCCCAGACCCCUACGGGAGGCAGCAGUGGGGAAUAUUGCACAAUGGGCGGAAGCCUGAUGCAGCAACGCCGCGUGCGGGAUGACGGCCUUCGGGUUGUAAACCGCUUUCGCCUGUGACGAAGCGUGAGUGACGGUAAUGGGUAAAGAAGCACCGGCUAACUACGUG
rnacentral:rRNA from 1 species